rnacentral:lncRNA from 1 species
GCGCUGCCACCGUCCAUGAACCUCUCUGGCAUGAACUCAUCCGGCUUCUCCCAUGACUCCGGGUCUCUGCCAAGAGCCCAUGCGUUGAGGAUGACCCUGGUGCCGGAAGGGACACAGUAGCCAUCGACGACGCAGUCCGCCAUGGAGAGGCGAGGCACCAGGAGCGGCGCAGGCGGGUGCAUCCUCAGUGUCUCCUUCACGACCGCUCUCAGGUAGGGCAUGUUAGAUAGGUUCUCUUCCUCCACCGUUUCUUGUCCUGACGGUGUGUGCUUUCUCACUUCACCUUGUAGCUUAGCCAUCUGCUGUGGGUUGCAC